UGGGGAAUAUUGCACAAUGGGCGCAAGCCUGAUGCAGCCAUGCCGCGUGUGUGAAGAAGGCCUUCGGGUUGUAAAGCACUUUCAGCGGGGAGGAAGGCGUUAAGGUUAAUAACCUUGGCGAUUGACGUUACCCGCAGAAGAAGCACCGGCUAACUCCGUGCCAGCAGCCGCGGUAAUACGGAGGGUGCAAGCGUUAAUCGGAAUUACUGGGCGUAAAGCGCACGCAGGCGGUCUGUCAAGUCGGAUGUGAAAUCCCCGCGCUCAACCUGGGAACUGCCUUCGAAACUGGCAGGCUAGAGUCUUGUAGAGGGGGGUAGAAUUCCAGGUGUGGCGGUGAAAUGCGUAGAGAUCUGGAGGAAUACCGGUGGCGAAGGCGGCCCCCUGGCCAAAGACUGCCGCUCGGGUGCGAAAGCGUGGGGAGCAAACAGG
rnacentral:rRNA from 1 species